rnacentral:misc_RNA from 1 species
UAGGGGCCGAGGACCUGAAGG